GAUCCGCUGAGCGGCAGGUGCAGGCAGUGGAGGCAGUAGCUGCUGUCCAGUCGGUAGCCGACUUGCGGAUCCAGCAAGAACCAGCGGCUGCGCUUCGGCUGCUGCAGAGUUAGGGUCUUGCUCUGUCGCUCAGGCUGGAGUGCAGUGGCAUGAUCAUGGGUCACUGCAGCCUUGAACUCCUGGGCUUAAGGGAUCUUCUCAUCUCAGUCUCCUAAAUAGCUGGGACUACAGGCUCAGGCCACCAUGCCUGCUUAUAGAAGAGCACGGCAUACAGAAAAAUCCAUCUUCUGCAAAGAAAACACAGUCAUGUAGAGAACCUUUCCAUCCGCAGUCUGGACCCAGUUCCUAGGAAAGAAGUUGUUUCAACUCUCAUUGGAGGAAGUAUAAGGUGAUCUCAGGGAAGGGGAGAAGGGCUGGUUGCCUGCCAAAUCUAUGAUCAAGUCGGCUCCACA
rnacentral:antisense_RNA from 1 species